rnacentral:tRNA from 1 species
AGGGGGCACCUGGAUUUGAACCAGGGACCUCUUGAUCUGCAGUCAAAUGCUCUACCCCUGAGCUAUACCCCC